rnacentral:lncRNA from 1 species
GGCGCCAAGUUCAUCAGGCGGAAAAAGACCACAAAAAUGGGUGGGCGAUAUCCUUCGGGGGUGGGGCUGGCCAACUUCAUCCGCCGGACUCGAAAUGGCGCGAGACUUUGCGAGGCACCUCCGUGUGCUAAAAAUAGGCCGCGGUCACAGCAGCGCCCAAAAAUAACCACCCGAAGCCCGGGGCGCCAAGUUCGUCCAGCGGAAAAAGGCCACAAAAACGGGUGGGCUAUAGCCUUGGGGGGUGGGGCUGGCCAACUUCGUCCGCCGGACUCGGAAUGGCCCGAGACUUUGCGAGGCGCCUCCGUGUGCCAAAAAUAUACCGCGGGCACACCCUCGCCCAAAAAUAACUCCCCGAAGGCCGGGGCGCCAAGUUUNNNNNNNNNNNNNNNNNNNNNNNNNNNNNNNNNNNNNNNNNNNNNNNNNNNNNNNNNNNNNNNNNNNNNNNNNNNNNNNNNNNNNNNNNNNNNNNNNNNNNNNNNNNNNNNNNNNCCAAAAAUAGGCCGCGGGCACAGCUGCGCCCAAAAAUAACCGCCCGAAGGCCGGGGCGCCAAGUUCGUCCAGCGGAAAAAGACCACAAAAACGGGUGCGCUAUAGCCUUGUGGGGUGGGGCUGGCCCACUUUUCUCCGCCGGACUCGGAAUGGCACGAGACUUUGCAAGGCGUCUCCGUGCGCCAAAAAUAGGCCGCGGGAACAGCCGCGCCCAAAAAUAACUGGCCGAAGGCCGGGGCGCCAAGUUCGUCCAGCGGAAAAAGCCCACAAAAACGGGUGGGCUAUAGCCUUGGGGGGUGGGGCUGGCCAACUUCGUCCGCCGGACUCGGAAUGGCGCGAGACCUUAUGAGGUGCCUCCAUGUGCCAAAAAUAGGCUGCGGACACAGCCUCACCCAAAAAUAACCGACCGAAGGCCAGGGCGCCAAGUUCGUCCAGCGGAAAAAGGCCAGAAAAACGGGUGGGCUAUAGCCUUGGGGGGUGGGGCUGGCCAACUUCGACCGCCGGACUCGAAUUGGCGCGAGACUUUUCGAGGCACCUCCGUGUGCCAAAAAUAGGCCGCGGGCACAGCCGCGCCAAAAUGUAACCGCCCGGAGACCGGGCCUCCAUGAUCGUCCAGCGGAAAAAGCCCACAAAAACGGGUGGGCACGCCUUGGGGGGUGGGGCUGGCCGACUUCGUCCGCCGGACUCGGAAUGGCGCGAGACUUUGCGAGGCACCUCUGUGUGCCAAAAAUAGGCCGCGGGCACAGCCACGCCCAAAAAUAACUGCCCGAAGGCCGGGGCACCAAGUUCGUCCAGCGGAAAAAGCCCACAAAAACGGGUGGGCUAUAGCCUUGGGGGGUGGGGCUGGCCGACUUCGUCCGCCGGGCUCGGAAUGGAGCGAGACUUUGCGAGGCACCUCUGUGUGCGAAAAAUAGGCAGCGAACACAGCCUCACCCAAAAAUAACCGACCGAAGGCCAGGGCGCCAAGUUCGUCUAGCGGAAAAGGGCCACAAAAACGGGUGGGCUAUAGCCUUGGGGGGUGGGGCUGGCCCACUUCGUCCGCCGGACUCGGAAUGGCGCGAGACUUUGCGAGGCACCUUCGUGUGGCAAAAAUAGGCCGCGGGCACAGCCGCGCCUAAAAAUAACCGCCCGAAGGCCGGGGCGCCAAUUUCGUCCAGUGGAAAAAGCCCACAAAAAUGGGUGGGCCAUAGCUUUGGGGGGUGGGGCGGGCCCACUUCGUCCGCCGGACUCGGAAUGGCGCGAGACUUUGCGUGCGUCCUCCGUGUGCCAAAAAUAGGCCGCGGGCAAAGCCGCGCCCAAAAAUAACCGCCGGAAGGCCGGGGCGCCAAGUUCGUCCAGCGGAAAAAGGCCACAAAAACGGGUGGGUUAUAGCCUUGGGGGGUGGGACUGGCCAACUUCGUCCGCCGGACUCGGAAUGGCGCGAGACUUUGCGAGGCACCUCCGUGUGCCAAAAAUAGGCCGCGGGCACAGCUGCGCCCAAAAAUAACCGCCCGAAGGCCGGGGCGCCAAGUUCGUCCAGCGGAAAAAGACCACAAAAACGGGUGGGCUAUAGCCUGGGGGGGUGGGGCUGCCCGACUUCGUCCGCCGGACUCGGAAUGGCGCGAGACUUUGCGAGGCACCUCCGUCUGCCAAAAAUAGGCCGCGGGCAAAGCCGCGCCCAAAAAUAACCGCCCGAAGGCCGGGGCGGCAAGUUCGUCCAGCGGAAAAAGGCCACAAAAACGGGUGGGCUAUAGCCUUGGGGGGUGGGGCUGGCCAACUUCGUCCGCCGGACUCGGAAUGCCGCGAGACUUUGCGAGGGGCCUCCGUGUGCCAAACCUAGGCCGCGGACAAAGCCACGCCCAAAAAUAACCGCCCGAAGGCCGGGGCACCAAGUUCGUCCAGCGGAAAAAGGCUAGAAAAACGGGUGGGCUAUAGCCUUGGGGGGUGGGGCUGGCCAGCUUCAUCCGCCGGACUCGGAAUGGUGCGAGACUUUGCAAGGCGCCUCCGUGUACGAAUAAUAGGCCACGGCCACAGCCGCGCCCAAAUAUAACCGCCCGAAGGCCGGGGCGCCAUGUUCGUCCAGCGGAAAAAGCCCACAAAAACGGGUGGGCUAUAGCCUUGGGGGGUGGGGCUGGCCAGCUUCGUCCGCAGGACUCGGAAUGGCGCAAGACUUUGCGAGGCACCUCCGUGUGCCAAAAAUAGGCCGCCGGCACAGCCGCGCCCAAAAAUAACUGCCCGAAGGCCGGGGCGCCAAGUUCGUCCAGCGGAAAAAGCCCACAAAAACGGGUGGGCUAUAGCCUUGGGGGGUGGGGCUGGCCAACUUCGUCCGCCGGACUCGGAAUGGCGCGAGACUUUGCGAGGGGCCUCCGUGUGCGAAAAACAGGCUGCGGGCAAAGCCGCGCCCAAAAAUAACCGCCCGAAGGCCGGGGCGGCAAGUUCGUCCAGCGGAAAAAGGCCACAAAAACGGGUGGGCUAGAGCCUUGGGGGGUGGGGCUGGCAAACUUCGUCCGCCGGACUCGGAAUUUCGUGAGACAUUGCGAGGGGCCUCCGUGUGCCAAACCUAGGCCGCGGGCAAAGCCGCGCCCAAAAAUAACCGCCCGAAGGCCGGGGCGCCAAGUUCGUCCAGCGGAAAAAGCCUACAAAAACGGGUGGGCUAUAGCCUUGGGGGGUGGGGCUGGCCGACUUCGUCCGCCGGACUCGGAAUUUCGUGAGACUUUGCGAGGGGCCUCCGUGUGCCAAACCUAGGCCGCGGGCAAAGCCGCGCCCAAAAAUAACCGCCCGAAGGCCGGGGCGCCAAGUUCGUCCAGCGGAAAAAGCCCACAAAAACGGGUGGGCUAUAGCUUUGGGGGGUGGGGCGGGCCCAC